CACACAAUGAAUAUAAAAUUAAGAAUAACUAUAGAGUUAUUUGUUAUUAUUAAUUUAGUUUUAUUGGACUCCUUUGAGGAUAAGCUCAAAGGUUGUUGUUGAGAUUCAUAUUACUUUAAACUGUUAUGUGGGCCUAAAAUUAGCCAUCAUCAGAGUUUGUUAUAAAAUAACAAGAGUGUAUAAAAAUAUUGUUAUAUGUCAAUGCCACGGAAAACUAUAAGAAUAAUAAUCUGAAUCAAAAGAAUUACUAUACCUAUGCUAGGAUGAGUAUUACAAACUAUAAGUUGAACAAGCUAGCGUUCCUUAAAAAAGAUAUUGUAUAUAAAUUAAAGAGAAGGAAUUCGGCAAAUAUUGUUCCGCCUGUUUAUCAAAAACAUGGCUCUUUGAAAACAACGUAUAAAGAGUCGAACCUGCCCAGUGAAUUUUUUAAACGGCCGCGGUACCCUGACCGUGCAAAGGUAGCAUAAUCAUUUGCCUUAUAAUUGAAGGCUGGCAUGAAUGGUCUGACGAGAGCAAUGCUGUCUCCUCUUUAUUAUCUAGAAAUUAACCUAUAGGUGAAGAGGCCUAUAUUAGAUUGAAGGACAAGAAGACCCUGUCGAGCUUUAAAAAAGAGUAGACGUUAGCUUAUUAGGAAAAAUCAAUAAACUACAUUAUAGUUUUUAGUUGGGGCGACGAAGGAACAAGCAAAGCUUCUUUUAUUUUUAUAAAUUUAUAAAUUUAGAUCCAGCAAAGCUGACUAAAGAAAUUAGUUACCGCAGGGAUAACAGCAUAAUCUCCUUUGAGAGACCUAAUCG
rnacentral:rRNA from 1 species